rnacentral:tRNA from 1 species
GAGGGUAUAACUCAGUGGUAGAGCACAUGCUUAGCAUGCUUAAUGUCCUGGGUUCAAUUCCCAAUACUUCCA